UUCGACGGCCGAUUGCAGAACCCCUGUGUAACGUUUUUGUUCCUCAUUGAAUCCAUUCAUAACGUCUAUCCAUCAACUAUCUCCGUCCACCUCUGCCACUUCGACUUUAAUGACCCCUUACUCAACUUUCAUCUCAAAUCCCUAAUUCCUGAGACUAUAUAUAAGGAUUAAGACCACAUCAAAUCUCACUGUUUCACGAGAUUCAAUCAUAUUCCCUCCUCUCAAACACAGUCUGCAACGAUGGCGUCAUCCCAUAUCCUUAUUUCUGAUUUAAAAGUUGGCCGUUGUCUCAGACGGUGGUGAAGCGUCUCCAGCAUUUCUGGGGAUCAUGCAACGUCAAGAAAGGAGGAGAGCUCAUGAGGGUCAACAUGUUCUUGAUAUAAAGGUCGAGCGCCUCAUGUCCCCUCGAUUAUAGAAUUGAUUUUUAUUCUUUUGAUUCUCUAAUAUGUUGUCAUAUUUUCUGUUUUAACAGUCAUCGCUCAAGCGUUUAGAAAAUACUAUCGUCCAACAAUCAACUCAGUCAAUUACAUCAAAAAUCUAGCAUAUAUAACUAAGAAUGAUACAUAUUUCUUAUCAAUAUCUCCAACAAAUUUCAGUUUAUUUUUGUUGUUUACAAUGUUAUUGUUCUUAGAAGGGUAUAUUAUAUGUAUAACCAAUGAGAUCAAGCAAAGCACUAUGCAAUCAGGUUCUUGGUUGUAUGUUUUGUAAAGUAAAGAGCUCUGGAUUCCGUCUCUUUCUUUCGCCGGCAAGGCUAUGCCCCUUGCCUCUUAGGUAUUUUAUCGCAAAUCUCCGUCUCUUUGUUUUGUGAUUAUGAUUUAGUUAUCAAUUUGUUUGGUCUUUCUUUGAGUUUUUGUGUUUGUCCAGAUUGGAUAUGAUUAUAUUUUAUUAUCAAUCAUGUGUAUGGGGAUUUGUUCGAUUCUGAAUUGACGAGCGUGUAAUGUUCUAUCAGGCUUGGAUAUUUUUGUGACACCUGUCACCUCCUAUAUGGAGGACAGCGUGUCACCCCCGACGCGUCAUCAUACAACAAUGUGAUACCCGUCUCCCUGACACUAAGGACGACGGGCCACCAACAAUAUCCCGUAAUAUAAAAGCCCAUAAACCCGACAACUCUCACCCAUGCCCAAAUAAAAUCCGAAAGAAAAGUCCA